rfam:Nicotiana attenuata strain TT chromosome 2, whole genome shotgun sequence.
GGGGAUAUAGCUCAAAUGGUAGAGCGCUCGCUUUGCAUGCGAGAGGUACAUGGUUCAAUCCCCUGCAUCUCCA